CGUGAGUGGAUUGCCUGAGCUCAGGGGUUCAAGACCAGCCUGGGCAACAUGGUGAAACCCUAUCUCUACAAAAAUGCAAAAAAAUUAGCUGGUGUGGUGGUAUGCGCCUGUAGUCCCAGCUACUUGGGAGGCUGAGGCAGGAGAAUUGCUUGAACCCGGGAGAUGGAGGUUGCACUGAGCUCAGAUACCAAAGGUAAAGAAGGAAGUGCUUGUUGUUAUUAGGGUGAGAGGGUAGCAUUUGUUAAACUUGGCUAAAGCCAGUGCAAAUAGAAUUUGGGAAGGUCUGGUGAUUUUUUCAAAGCUAUUUACAAGCUAUUACUCCUCAGGAUGCAACUCAAAGGACAUUUUGAGUAUUAAUAAGAUUAUUUCAUGAACUGCUUUGAUUUUGUUUGCUGAAAUGUACCUUAUAAAUUAUGAUUUUAUGAUUGAAGAAUAUAUGUAGAUUUGUAUUUUUUUCCUCUCUCUUUUCAGAAUUAUGUUGAAUUUCUCAAUCAGGUAGAUUUCUAAAUGUGAUGAUAAUUGCUAUAAAAUUGUCAGAAAGUUCCAAAGCAGUCUGAAACACAGUAGUGGGUUCAAUCAAUGAUUAGUUUCAUUUCUUUUCAAAGGCAUCACUAGACUUUCCUUAUGGCUCUGGAAUUGUUUUCAAACUUUGUUGUUCUUCUGAAUCACCUGAAGUACUUGAUAUGGUAGGAAUAUUUGUGUCCCCUCAAAUUUCUUAUGUUGAAGUCUUAACUUGGUAUUCAGUGUUAUACCUCCUGUAACAAUGGUAUUAGGAAGUAGUGUAUUUGGGAGGUGGGGCUUUUGAUCAUAGGGGUGGAGCCCUUCUGAAUGGGAUUAGUUCCCUUAUAAAAGAGACCUCUGAGAGCUCCUUUGCCCCUUCCACUCUCUGAAGACACAGUGAGAAGCCAGCAGUCUUACAGCCAGGAAGAGAACCCCCACCAGAACCCUGAUCUCAGAAUUCUGGCCUCUAGAGCUGUGAAAAAUAAAUUUCAAUUGUUUAUAAGCCAGCCAAUCUAUGCUGAUUUGUUAUUGCAGCCUGAAUAGACUAAGACAAUACUUGUUUAAAAUAUGCAUUUCCCGCCUGUCCUCCCAGAAAAUUCUGAUCCAGGAGGUUCAAGGUGGGACCUGGGAAACAUUUUCAACAAGGCUCUCAAGUGAUAAUUAAAAUCAGCAACAUUGCGUUAGAACAGUGGUUCUCAACUCUAACUGGGCAGCUUUAAAAAAUCCUGGUCCCUGGGUCCAACCUCUAACCAAUGUAAUCAGAAUCUUUGGUGGCAGGACCCAGGCAUUUGUACUUUUUAAAAAAGAAUCCUCAGGUGGCUUUAAUGUGCACCUAGGAUUAACAAUCAUUGUUCUCAAUGUUCUUGUGAAUACUAAAAUAGAUUCUGGAAAAAUGCUGUGGGAUAAUACAUUUUUACCUCUAGUGCUUUCCUAAGAUAAAAUAUAUUUAAUUUGAGUAAGUGUUAAAAUCAGAAUAUUUCAGAUACCAUGUAGAGUCAAUGUGAGUACCAGAUAGUCAACAAUUCUGGGGUGAAGUAAGUCAGUCUCUAGACUUUUUUCAAGAACUUUACCAAUGUUCUAUUUGAGCUUUUAAUUGUGUAUAUAAUUCACCCUAGUAACCCCUUAGCAACAGACUGUGAUAUGCAGAUAGGAUGCAAAUCAUCAGGUGAAGAAAGUAGAGAAAUGCAGAAGCAAGAUUUGAGGUUAAUUGUGGUAGAAUUUAAAAUUGUGGCCAGGAACAGACUUCAUUAUCCUCCUUCUUUUUGCUUCCAGAAAAGAAUCUGCACAGGUGUAUUUACCUAGGUGAUCUCCAGUAUGGCGAUCCUUAAUUGUCCACCUCAGCUUUUGCAAUAUGUGGAAAGCCAGGCUCUGAUCUGGAUAAUGACACAAGGAUGUUGGCAGAUUAUUAUGUCUCUUGAUUUCAGGGAGUUUAGCUUUAUUUUUGUAGUGAGGUGCAUUAGUUGAGGAAGAUCCAGUACCAGAUGGUAAUGUUGGCUGGGAGUGGUUUUCUCACCUACAUUUGGCAGCUUAACUCGGAAGUGGAGCUUUCAGUGCCUGAGACUUCCAGUCUAUGCUACUUAACAUGAUCAUUGGGAAGCUUUAGGUGGUAUAGAAGCAAUGACACAUCUCAUUAAAGGUCCCGUAACUAUGAACAUCUGACAUCUGUGCUGCAAAUAGGACUGAAUGCAGCCUUCAAGUGGUUACAGAUUCAAGGGGUAUGUUGUUUUUUAAAGGCACAGCUGAAACUCAUUAUAUUUACCAGGCUUGUAAUUUCUAGAGGCAUUUUUGACUGGAAGACAUAGAUUACACAUUAAUAAACUGCUCCUUUCAAAGUUGACCUCCUCCUAAAUGGGUUCCCUCUUUCCCAGUAUUUAGACAAUGGUUUCAGCUGAUGCUUAUCUAUGAUUUAGCAAUAAUCAUAACAAUAGCUAUCAUAAUUUGAAUACCUAUAAUAUGCUAGGAUACUUUAUAUAUAAGUGAUACAAUAGCUCUCCAAGAUAUUCCCACUUCGUGGAUGAGGAACCUGGGGCUCUGAGGAAUUAAGGAACUUGCCAAAGACCACAAAACUCCUAAGUGACAGAGCCAGGAUUCUGCCAGCUGUCUGGUUGCCCAGUGGAGUCUCUGUCCAUCUUGUCACUGGCUCCUGCACUGUGUACAGGAAUGGAAUCAGCAUUCAUUGCUAUAAACUGCAGUAAGGUAAGUGAACGUUCAUAAAAGUUGGCCUGUAGUUUAGUAUUUAAACUAGAAAAAUAAAAAAAGGUAAGACAACCAAAUUCAGCCUUCAAGGAUCUUACCAUCCAGUUCUUUUAUCACAUUAAAGAAUAACAGCCUGAUUCUUUAUACACAUUUCUAGAUGCUUUAACUUUAAAUUUUUAAAAUACUGAGCUAUUUAGUGAAAUCAGAAAAUAAUUUUUAAAAAUCUAAGUACGUUCAUCCUAAAUUUGGCCUGCUUCCUUACAGCUGCAGAAAUUCAUUUUCACCCCAUUCCCCAUCCCCCUUCCUGAAGCCCUAAAGCACAAACCCAGUGGGAGUCCCCUCUGUUUCCCAAAGGAAAUAUUUCAUUCAUAUAAUGUCUCCUUUGUAAUCAACACUGAGAAAUGUCACUUUGAUUAAACACAACUCUGAAUGACUAAGACCACAGUACAAUAAAUUCUCCAGAGCUAUCUUUCAGAACAACUGAUUGCUCUCCAGUCUUAAUCCUCCAGAGUCUUAUUUAAUCAAAAUGAUGUUGCUAAUUAAGGAUUAAAACCUCCAAAUAGAAUAAAAAAGAAGGAUUUUUCUUUCUCCUUUGGGCAGGUCAAGGAGGCAGAAUUUGCUGCAAGGAAGUAAAGAGUCCCUUCUACCUUUGCCACGUUCUAUGCUGCAGGACAAGGCACUUCAAAUCUUUUUACCUGGAUGAUAAAUGUAUCCGCGUGUGUUGGGAAGGUGCUGGUGAGCUGUACUGGUCUGCAUGAGACUUAGAAGCUCCUGUGAUUACUGACUGAAUCAUCAUCACAGAUUCAUCAUGUCGUCACUUAGUCCAAUUCAUCACAAAGACUGAGCAACUACUACCCAAAUGGCAUCAGAAAGUAAACAGUGAGAACGGUCAUAAGCCUCUUUUUUCUCCUAGCCAGUGCUACUUACCAGUUAAAAAAAGACAUUGUUUUUUGUGAUCCAUACUCCUGAAGGCCAAAAGCACCCAGUGGACAGACAAUGGCUCUUAUGCCUCCAAUGCCAAGGCAAAUGGUCAACAGUGCUACAUAAAACAGCCUGUGCUGCUCUGUUUUUGCUGGAUGGAGCCUUCUUUGCCACAAACGGAGUUGAGAAGGCUGGGGACAGAGGAGUGUGAGUGGAAGGAGAGGGGACAUAAAGUGACAAAAGAAGGUCGAGUAUCCUUCUCUCUUCCACCUUGCAGGGACCACACUUGCUGACUUUCCUUGUCUAAUAAAACUUACUAUACAAUUCCAUGCUUUUGCUAAGCUCUUUAUAUUUUGCAAAGCAUGUUCAUGGACUAUAUUGUUUCAUCUUGGAAAAACUUUGUGAUGGGAGUGGAUAGAUUUUCUUAUUCAAUUUAUUUUUUUAAAGAAAUAGGUUCAGUGAGAUUAAGUGGCUUGCCUAAUGUUAUAAAGUAACCCAGUUGUAAUCUCCCUCUUCUUGGACCUCCUACCAUCAAGUAGUCAAAUAAAUUUUUUUUUUGGAAGUAGUAUUCCCCCCCCAUCAG